AUUGAACGCUAGCGGGAUGCUUUACACAUGCACGUCGAACGAGUGGCGUACGGGUGAGUAAUAUAUCGGCACGUGACCAGUAGCGGGGGAUAACUCGUCGAAAGAGUGGCUUAUACCGCAUUCUCUGGGAACGGCCUAUAUCGGAAUAGCUAGUUGGUGGGGUAAAGGCUCACCAAGGCAAAUAUCUGUAGCUGGUUUGAUAGGACGACCAGCAACACUGGGACUACGACACGGUCCAGACUCCUACGGGAGGCAGAAGUGUGAAAUUUUUGACAAUGGGGGAAACCCUGAUCCAGCCAUCCCGCUUGUAUGAGAAGGCCUUCGGGUGGUAAAGUACUUUUGGCAGAGAAGCGGUAUCUGCAGAAUAAGCACCGGCUAACUACGUGCCAGCAGCCGCGGUAAUUC
rnacentral:rRNA from 1 species